GACGAACGCUGGCGGCGUGCUUAACACAUGCAAGUCGAACGAUGAAGCUAGAGCUUGCUCUGGUGGAUUAGUGGCGAACGGGUGAGUAACACGUGAGUAACCUGCCCCGAACUCUGGGAUAACUGCUGGAAACGGUAGCUAAUACCGGAUAUGACCAAUGAAGGCAUCUUCUGUUGGUGGAAAGAAUUUCGGUUCGGGAUGGACUCGCGGCCUAUCAGCUUGUUGGUGAGAUAACGGCUCACCAAGGCGACGACGGGUAGCCGGCCUGAGAGGGUGAUCGGCCACACUGGGACUGAGACACGGCCCAGACUCCUACGGGAGGCAACAGUGGGGAAUAUUGCACAAUGGGCGCAAGCCUGAUGCAGCAACGCCGCGUGAGGGACGACGGCCUUCGGGUUGUAAACCUCUUUUAGUAGGGAAGAAGCGAAAGUGACGGUACCUGCAGAAAAAGCACCGGCUAACUACGUGCCAGCCGCCGCCGUAA
rnacentral:rRNA from 1 species